AAGGAAUAUUGGUCAAUGGACGCAAGUCUGAACCAGCCAUGCCGCGUGGAGGAUGAAGGUCCUCUGGAUUGUAAACUUCUUUUAUCUGGGACGAAACACUUCUUUUCUAAGAGGCCUGACGGUACCAGAUGAAUAAGCACCGGCUAACUCCGUGCCAGCAGCCGCGGUAAUACGGAGGGUGCAAGCGUUAUCCGGAUUCACUGGGUUUAAAGGGUGCGUAGGUGGGUACGUAAGUCAGUGGUGAAAUCCCCGAGCUUAACUUGGGAACUGCCAUUGAUACUAUAUAUCUUGAAUGCCGUAGAGGUAAGCGGAAUAUGUCAUGUAGCGGUGAAAUGCUUAGAUAUGACAUGGAACACCAAUUGCGAAGGCAGCUUACUAUGCGGUGAUUGACACUGAGGCACGAAAGCGUGGGU
rnacentral:rRNA from 1 species